CAUAAGUAGAUAAAGUGCGAAGGGUUUCGUCGUUCCGCUCGUGAUUUCGUCGUCCUCACGUGACCCCCUCAUCCUUUCCGCGCAUCGCGCGGGAUCCUCCUCACCUCUGCCUGUUCUUUUUUUUGUUUUUUUGUUUUUUUUUUCUAACCCUAAGAGUAUCGUAUCUUAUCUCCCGCCGCUCUUCCUCCUGCUCUCCCUUCUUUCCCCUUUGCUCUCCUUGCCCUAUCCGUAUACCUCCAUUACUCCCUUUCCUCCUUCCCUUUACUCUACAACAUCAUUCCCAUUUGCAGAGACAGCGCCGCCCCUCCUCUCCCUUGCCUUUUCUUUUCUUUUUUUUUUUUAAUUUCUGGACCUAAUAUCUGCUUAGCCUCCAUCAUUUUCAUUAGCAAUAGGUUAAUUUCUGCUUUCUUCUGCCAACUCCAUUCAGUUACUCCCUUUCCUCCUUCCCUUUACUUUACAUUCUCUCCCGCCGCUCUUCCUCCUGCUCUCCCUUCUUUCCCCUUUGCUCUCCUUGCCCUAUCCGUAUACCUCCAUUACUCCCUUUCCUCCUUCCCUUUACUCUACAACAUCAUUCCCAUUUGCAGAGACAGCGCCGCCCCUCCUCUCCCUUGCCUUUUCUUUUCUUUUUUUUUUUUAAUUUCUGGACCUAAUAUCUGCUUAGCCUCCAUCAUUUUCAUUAGCAAUAGGUUAAUUUCUGCUUUCUUCUGCCAACUCCAUUCAGUUACUCCCUUUCCUCCUUCCCUUUACUUUACAGCAUCAUUCCCAUUUGCAGAGACAGCGCCGCCCCUCCUCUCCUCUGCCUUUUCUUUUUUUUUUUUAAUUUCUGGACCUAAUUUCUGCUUAGUCUCCAUCAUUUUCAUUAGCAAUAGGUUAAUUUCAGCUUUCUUCUGCCAACUCCAUUCAGUUGAACCCGUUUUCUUUUUAAAGCUUGGUGAUUUUCCUCUUUUCCUUUGAUUUUGCUUUUCUCGUUGGCUUGUGAAGGCCACCAAAUUUCUCAUUCUCUCUUAAAUGUGGUCUCAAACAAGCUUUUCCAUUCCAAAUGUGGGCGGCUCCGCAGAAACCUAAUCCACAGUAAGCUCUUAAACCUUCGGCCGCCGCAGCUUUCUUCUUCUUCUUUUUCUUCCCCGUGCUGCGCUGUUUCGGUACAUUUGGUUCUUGCAAGGAAACAAAUAAAGCACAUGUGCCAUGAGGUAAGAACCAAGAAUAUUUCAAUUUUUGUUUGAAUUAGAGUAAAUUGAUUUUUUGAUUUGAUUAAUCCUGUCCAGGUUUGAAAUGGAUAGGGUUUGGCAAUGUUUAAGAAUCCAUGGCCAGGAUAGUGCCGAGAUUCAUGGGUGUUGUGUAAUCAGUUGAGCCCGUCAGAAUUUGUUGCAAGAGAUCGUCUUGGAGAGGCAAGUGCUUGUUUAUUUUGAUGGUAUAUUGUGGAUUGUAGCUUGAGAUAAUUCUGUACAAAUAGUUCUUUAAUUCAACUAUUUCUUGAUGCUAUGCAGAUUCGAUGUUCGGAUGCUAUUCAUUGACUUUUCGAAGGGUUUCCUGAGGUACAUGUUUUCCGUUUUUGCAUUUCCUGGUCGCAAUAUGGCGACAAUGGUGUUGGGAAUUUGGUCUAAUUUACUGGUUUUUAAUAGCUUGGCCUGUUGCAUUUGGUGGUUUGGUGUUUUUUUUGUUGGUUUCCUCUUCUUUCUCAUUUUUUGCAACAAAUGAAAUGCAUAUUUCAAAUUUUGAGAUCUUGGUUUACUCGUUGUGUGAGGAAAUAAUUAGGUUGAAUGAUUAGUUGCAUUAUCAAUGAAAUAAUUUGGAAUUGUAUGUGGAUAAGUAUCAGUUGAGUUGAAGGUUAGUAAUUAUGUGACCAAUAAUAUUUCCAGUUCAAUGUUCCACUAAUCUACCGCUUUUAGCAGUUUUCUUCGUCAAACUUCCUCUAUCUUUUCUCCCAUUCCUACCUCUCUCAUUCUCCUACUUCUGCUUUCUUUCCUCCCCCUCUCGUUGUAUCAAAAGAUUUUGCUAUGUUUCUAUUUGUCUCAUUUUCUUCCCCUCUUAGAUUUGAGUUCUGUUUUGUUAGAUUUGCUUUUGAUGAUUUUAAAGGUUUCCUUCUCUUGUGCCUUUUAGAUGGUUACAUGAAUUUUGAUUAUUGUUUGUAUUUUUGUUAUCACAUCAUUCUGGGAUGCUUAGCUUCCCUUUUUUUUCUUUUUUUUCUAUAUUUUUUCUUUUUAGUCCAUGGUUUUUCUUUUUCCUCUCAAAUUUUCAACAAAGCAUAUAUGGCCAAAGAAAGCAAAACUGGAGAAGUUGUUGCUUUAAAGAAGAUACGCAUGGACAAUGAAAAAUAAGGGUUGUUGUUAUUCUACCCAAUUUCUUAUUUUCUUAGCUUAUGACAUUUUAAUUUCCUUAGUGGAUGAAUGGUUAUGCCUGCUCUUUUUAGAACACUCAUAAUUUUUUCUUGUAGUUUCCUGUAACUGCCAUGCAUGAAAUAAAAAUUCUAAGGAAGUUGUAGCAUGAAAAUGUCAUUAAACUGAAAGAGAUUGUGGCCUCUCCUGGUACUCAUCCUUCUCCAUAUGUUCAGAGUGGUUAUUUAAUUCAUAAACAUCAAACAUAUACUAUAUGUUUUGUUGUCUUACAUAUAAUAAACUCUUUUUCAGAUCAUGAGGUAGAUAAGCAAGUGAAUCAAGGUAACUAGACGUGCAGAAAUUUUCAAGUUUGUGGUUCCUGUUUCUGUAAGAAUUCAAUGCCCCUGAACUCCCAAAUACUGAGAUCGAAAAUGGUAUUUUGUUUUUGAAAUGUAUAAGGUAAUAGAUACAAAGGCAGUAUUUACAUGAUUUUUGGGUAUAUGGACCAUAGCUUGACGGGACUUGCUGAUUGUCCUGAAUUGAGAUUUACAAUUCAACAUAUCAAUGUAUGUGACCUUGGACAAGGAGGAUUUACUCAUUAUAAUGAGCAUCCAUCACUUUUUUUUUGUCAACAAAGCAUCCAUCACUCAACUUGUUCUAAUAAUAUGUAUUUGUAGUGUUAUAUGAAGUAGCUGCUUACUGUUCUUCACUACUGUCAUCUCAAUAACGUGCAGAUAUCAAAGGUUAACUUUUUUAUUCUUUUCUAAACAUAUUAUCUAGGAUUUUAGGUGUGCAUAUGAUACUAUGUUCUGGUUUUUGGUUUGGCAGGCUCCAGUAUGCUUAUAGAUAAAAGGGAAACCUGAAGCUAGCAGAUUUUGGACUACCAUAAUCAUUCUCCAAUAACCACAGUCCAUGGAUGAUGAUUUUCCCUUAUAGCUGACCCAUGUCUUUGAUAUUAUAACUUAAUUUUCAAUCAAGAAAAUUUACUCAUCUAUGUAUUGAGCAGACCUUCAGAGUUGCUUCUUGGAGCUACGAAAUAUGAUUCGGCAGUAGACAUGUGGUUAGUUGGCUGUAUUUCUGCUGAACUUUUGCAUGAAAAACAAAUCUUACCUAGAAAAAAUGAGGUUAGGCAUAUACCUUGAGUUGUUGUACUAUUUUUUCAGCCUUUUUUUCAUUAUUUUUUAAGAAAAAAGCUGUCUUAUCUUAAUUUUUGAUUUAUCUUAUCUUAUUUAUCUAUCAAGGAAUUUUGAAAGAGUUAAGUAGAUGGUGUUUCGUCUUUUUCUUACAAUUGCUUUUCAUGAAAUGAACUUGGAUGAUUGUCAUGAUUAUUUAUUAGAUUGGUUCAGUUUGUAUGCACUAGAAGAAAGGAUAUGGACCAUUGUUGGCUUUUAGAGCAUCCCAAGUUCACAAGCUUUCUAUUUCAUUUAACUUUUUUAGCACAUCAAAGCUAAAUGAUUACAGACUCUGAAUGAUUACACUUAUUCUUCUUGAAUGAUUUUGAAUGCUUUUGACUGAAUAAAUAGUGUGUGUACAGACUAGGAAUUCAUUGGUUAUUUAUGCUUAUGCAUUUUAUGAUUAUGUUUCUGAUUUUUUGCUGCAGAAUGCUGAACUGAGUGCUCAUGUGGCUAAGCAGUAAAGAGGAAGGAAUCUGUUGUCCUGUGUUAGGCAUUCAUGUCGUUUGAUUAUGAGUGCAGUUUCAUUGGAUGUUUUUUAGUUAAUGUGUAUUAUGUAGUUAUAGUUGUUAGUGGAUUCAAGCACAGAUUCUGUAAUAGCUAGGUUGUUGCCAUUUCAGUUUGUAUAUACCUUACUCUUUUUAUAUGUAUUUAUGGAUCAUGAUGUUUUGUACAUUUUUUGUAUUCCAUGUAGUUAGUGACUUUCUCUGAACAUA
rnacentral:lncRNA from 1 species